rnacentral:rRNA from 1 species
CCCUUAGAGUUUGAUCCUGGCUCAGGACGAACGCUGGCGGCGUGCUUAACACAUGCAAGUCGAACGGAAGUUACGAGGAAGCUUGCGAAUUGUAACUUUAGUGGCGGACGGGUGAGUAACGCGUGGAUAACCUGCCUACAUGACCGGGACAACACCGGGAAACUGGUGCUAAUACCGGAUACGCUCAUAGAUACACAUGUAUAUACGAGGAAAGGAGCAAUCCGCAGGUAGAUGGGUCCGCGUCCCAUUAGCUAGUUGGCGGUGUAAAAGACCACCAAGGCGACGAUGGGUAGCCGGCCUGAGAGGGUGAACGGCCACACUGGAACUGAGACACGGUCCAGACUCCUAAGGGAGGCAGCAGUGGGGAAUCUUCCGCAAUGGGCGAAAGCCUGACGGAGCAACGCCGCGUGAGUGAAGAAGGCUUUCGGGUUGUAAAACUCUGUCUUCAGGGAAGAAAAAAAUGACGGUACCUGAGGAGGAAGCCCCGGCUAAUGCG